rnacentral:rRNA from 1 species
GCAUAUCAAUAAGCGGAGGAAAAGAAACUAACUAGGAUUCCCUUAGUAACGGCGAGUGAACCGGGAUGAGCUCAAAUUUGAAAUCUGGCGUCUUUCAGGCGUCCGAGUUGUAAUCUAUAGAGGCGUUUUCCGCGCCGGACCGCGUCCAAGUCUCUUGGAAUAGAGUAUCAAAGAGGGUGACAAUCCCGUACUUGACGCGACAACCGGUGCUCUGUGAUACGUUCUCAAUGAGUCGAGUUGUUUGGGAAUGCAGCUCUAAAUGGGUGGUAAAUUCCAUCUAAGGCUAAAUAUUGGCGAGAGACCGAUAGCGAACAAGUACCGUGAGGGAAAGAUGAAAAGCACUUUGGAAAGAGAGUUAAACAGCACGUGAAAUUGUUAAAAGGGAAACGAUUGAAGUCAGUCGUGUGGGAAGUAUUCAGCCGUCUCUGGCGGUGUAUUUGCUUCUCACGGGUCAACAUCAGUUUGAUCCGGUAGAAAAAGGCUGGAAGAAGGUGGCACCCUCGGGUGUGUUAUAGCUUCCUGUCAUAUGUGCCGGACCAGACUGAGGAACGCAGCUUGCAGCAAUGCCGGGAUUCGUCCACGUACAAGCUUAGGAUGUUGACAUAAUGGCUUUAAACGACCCGUCUUGAAACACGGACC